UACGGGGGGGGCAAGCGUUGUUCGGAAUUACUGGGCGUAAAGGGCGCGUAGGCGGCCUUCUAAGUCGAACGUGAAAUCCCCGGGCUCAACCCGGGAACUGCGUCCGAUACUGGAAGGCUUGAAUCCGGGAGAGGGAUGCGGAAUUCCAGGUGUAGCGGUGAAAUGCGUAGAUAUCUGGAGGAACACCGGUGGCGAAGGCGGCAUCCUGGACCGGCAUUGACGCUGAGGCGCGAAAGCGUGGGGAGCAAACAGGG
rnacentral:rRNA from 1 species